ensembl:lncRNA
CUUAUAUAUAAAAAGAUAUACAUACAUUUGUGGGUGGACUUGUAGGUCUAAAAUAUCACUAUGUUAUUGAAAAUUCAUCUUAUUUACCUAUCAGUUUGAAUCUUCUGCACUUUUAUUUUGAGGAAUCAUAGGGUGGCUUGGGUUGGAAGGGACCUGAAGGAUCAUCAAGCUCCAAUCCCCCACCACAGGGAGAGCCACCAACCUCCACAUUUGAUAGGAGUCGUUUCUUAGCCAUGUAAUCUGGUGUGGAAGACUUUGGAAUGCUGGCAAGAUGUUGGUGCUGGUCUGGGAAUAGCUGUGCUAUCUUUGUGACAAAGAGGAUACACUUUCUCAGCAGGCCAUGGACAGUAAAAAAGACUGGAGAAAGAAAG